rnacentral:rRNA from 1 species
UACGAAGGGGGCUAGCGUUGCUCGGAAUCACUGGGCGUAAAGGGCGCGUAGGCGGCCUGAUAAGUAGGGGGUGAAAUCCUGUGGCUCAACUGCAGGGCUGCCUCCUAGACUGUCGGGGCUUGAGCACGGUAGAGGCAGAUGGAAUUCCCGGUGUAGCGGUGGAAUGCGUAGAGAUCGGGAAGAACAUCGGUGGCGAAGGCGGUCGCUGGGCCGUUGCUGGACGCUG